rnacentral:rRNA from 1 species
UUGGAAGUUGAAGUGUUGGAUUUAAUUCGAUGCAACGCGAAAACCUUACCUACCUUGACAGUGUCCGGAAUCCGAGAGAUUUGGGAGUGCUCGCAAGAGAGCCGGAACACAGGUGCUGCAUGGCUGUCGUCAGCUCGUGUCGUGAGAUUGUUGGGUUAAAGUCCCCGCAACGAGCGCAACCCUUGUCAUUAGUUGCCAUCAUUUGGUUGGGCACUCUAAUGAGACUGCCGGUGACAAACCGGAGGAAGGUGGGGAUGACGUCAAGUCCUCAUGGCCCUUAUGGGUAGGGCUUCACACGUCAUACAAUGGUCGGUACAGAGGGUUGCCAACCCGCGAGGGGGAGCUAAUCCCACAAAGCCGAUCGUAGUCCGGAUCGCAGUCUGCAACUCGACUGCGUGAAGUCGGAAUCGCUAGUAAUCGUGGAUCAGCAUGUCACGGUGAAUACGUUCCCGGGUCGUU